UCUUGAGGGAAACAGCACAAAGACUAAUUUAAAAUCAUUAUCUUUUAAAUGAAUAAGUAUAGCAGCAUUUGACUAAAUGAGUGAGGGUUGGUUCUAAAAUGUAGUGGAAGAGAGAUUUAAACCGUAUCAGGAGAAAAUAGUCAUGCAAGUCAUUGUGAGUUAAUUUCGAUCGGUUUAUUAAGGUGUCUUAAGGAUGAGAGAAUAAAAGCUGAAAAUAGCCACUCCAUUUUCUUUUUUUCAUGUGCACAAACAUGCAUAAAGUUUGCAGAGACAUGGAGAUUACUACAGCUAAAUACUUGCACACACACAUGCCUGUCGCCUGCCCCGCCCUGUGGGGGUUUGAUGUGUUUCUGGCUUCUGCAUCCCCCUUUGUCUCUGCUAAUUAGCAGCACAGCUGAGGAAGUCUUGCUGGAGACGGCCGCACAGGCGCUCAGCACUGACUUGGCCUGUGUGUCUGGGCUAUUUCCACCCUGCCGCCUGUGCAGCUUAGGGCUGAAGUCCAGAGGGCCAGAAGUAGGAAAGCAGAAGAUCCCGACUCCUAUUCUGCAGGUUUUGACUCGUGUUCCCACUGACUCCGGAAAAGUCCCCUGUCAAGUGUUUAAAGAUGCAGUCAACAACCUGGUGGUGAACUCCAAAGACUUUUUUUUGAAAGGGGACAGUAAUGAAUUGGUCUUUUUGAUCAAAUUUAACACAAAGGUCCAUUCAUAUUACAGGAUGUUUUUACAAGGAUAUGUUUUUGCAGUUUAGCUGACUCAGUGCUCUUUUGCUAUUUUUUUGUUGAACUAUUUUUUUAUGUUGAACCUGUUUUUAACCUAAGCUGAACCUAAAAUUACUUUAAAUAUUCAGUAAUAUAACAUUACAACAUAGUUUUACUUUUGAAAGCAAGUCUGUACUUUCUGACAUUCAGUUAUAAAUUAUAUAAUGCAUCAUAGUAGAGUUACAGAAGUCUAUUUAGAAUCUUCCAAACACAGUUUAAGCCAGCUAUCUGUGUGCAUUUUCAAAAUCACAGCUUAUUUUCAUUUGCACGGCUUGCAAAACUCUGCUGUAAGCCAUUCACAUAAUUUUGAAUCUCAGUUCAGUAAGUAAUAUAGCUACCAGAUGUCCUAGAAAUUGCUAAAUGACAUAAUCAGUUAAUUUGCAUAACUGGCCUAAAUAUUUUUAAAUGAUUUUUUUUCAGGGGAGCAGUCUCUGUGGUUGAGCUUCAGGGUUCUCCCACACUUUUCCAGUUUCCAGCUGCUUCAGCAGGUGUUUUCCUGAGUAGGAACCUUUUCUUUUUAAUACCCAACCUAAUAUUUUCUCUGACGAACUCGACCAUUUCAUAAUCCUGAUCUGGUGGAUUACAACCUGCCUGUGUCAUUUAACAUUUUUCCUCUCUUGUUCUUAGUGCUUUUGUUUUCAGUAACCAGUCAGUUCACAAGAAGGCAGCAGUAAUCAAAGGAAAUAUGUGUGUGUGUGGUAGCUCUUAGGGUGUGUCUCUAGGUAAAGUGUGUGGAGUCUAAAUAUAGGAUUCUUAGCAGCAGCUUUUAUUAAGAAGAGGACUAAAAGUCAAGGAUAAGAACAAGGAUCCUUCCUUCUUGUGCUCUAAACCUAAAGCCCAUGAAGAAACCUUUAGAAAUAACAUGAGAAGAGCAUCAGUUUUACAGUUUGCUCAUGCUUUUUACUUGGAAAAUUUACUGCAACUUGUGGGUAACUGAUUUUUUCCAUUCUGCUGCAGGUAUUUUUCAAUCUAACAUUUUUUAGAAGCACAGCUGAUGGUUAUCAGUUUAGUGAUGAGCAGUAGAGCCUGUGGUGGUGAGAGGUCCUUGGGAAAUCUUGGCAAAGGAUCAUCAUUUCCUCCCUUCUACUUCUUAGUAACAUUGCUCAAGGUUUGAGAUUUAUGCAGCUGUGAAGCCAAACCUCCACUUCCGGCUUCCUUCUUCCGUUGCUCAAUUGUCCAGUUCUCACUCAAGUUGUUUUUGCAGCCAUUUCUGGAAUGGAGGGUGAGUCAACAAGGGAAAACUGAAGAAGAGACCAAACAAAAACACAACUUUUUCCAGUGCCGAUGGCAAACAGACAAGCUACAGAUUACUGAAAGGAUGCAGAAGUUUGAAGGGUCAAAAAAGUAUUCACACCCCUGAACUUCAUCAUAUUUUGUGAAAUUACAUCUUUAUUGUAUUUUAACUAUGUUUUAAAUCAAAACUAUGUAGUGAUGUUAGAAGAUGAUGCCUGUUUUUUGCUUUUUACAAAUAAAAGGCAAACAUUUGUA